UAUAGCAUUUGAUUGCUAUUAUAGGAUGGACUGUGCCUAAGUCGUUUUUAAUACACUAGUUGCACACAAUGGGGAUAUUAUUUAGUAGAAGGUGGGCUCAUGAAACUUGACGAUCAGACAGCAAAUUGUCUAAUCGGGCUAGGCGCCCAAUUGAAAAGUUUUGCGGAAAAGUGUCUGACAUAGAGUGCAAUCCCAUUUGGCACUAAUCAACGUGCUCUUGUCUACAAACAAAUCAUCAACCAUGAUGAUCAUCAUGAACCUCAUCAUGCGCAUCAUGAUCAUCAUCUGUGCAUACGAAUGUAUCUAUGCCAAUGACAAUGAGAGACGUUGGCGUCUGUCAACGCGCCAAAAAAAAAAAAAAAAAAAAAAAAGAAAAAACUUUGGUGUGGGUGUUUCGUGUUUUUGAGUGCUUAGAAUAGGGUCUCUCUCAUGGGCUUGUGAACUGGAACGCUGCGCUCGCCAUCGCUGGCAGAGCUGGAGC